rnacentral:misc_RNA from 1 species
GCAAACUUGGUCAUUUAGAGGAAGUAAAAGUCGUAACAAGGUUUCCGUAGGUGAACCUGCGGAAGGAUCAUUAACGAGCGAGGGCCCCGCGCCCGACCUCCAACCCUUGUGUAUCUAACCUCUUUGCCUUGGCGGUCGCCGGCCCUCGGACCGGCCCGCCAGGGACCCGUCAUAAACGCUAUAACGAUGGGCUCUGAGCAUGGGCUAACGAAUAAAACUUUCAACAACGGAUCUCUUGGCUCUGGCAUCGAUGAAGAACGCAGC